UCAAACAACCCAUUUUAAGCCUAAUUUUCAGACCUAGCCCAUAAUUCCCAGACCCAUACCCCCUAGCCUAAAAAACCCUAUAAAACAAACCAAACCUAAUUUCCUAGACUCUAAGACCUAUACACACAGUAAUCAGCCGAUAACACCGGAGACCUAUACAAACCGCUGUUUCCUAAUCAAAGAGAACGGAUUCUGGGCUUCUCCUUCACAUUUUUCAAGAGGUAGCUUCAUCUUCAAAAAAGAGAAAACAAAAAAGAAGCGCAGCCAUUUUUUGAACUUUAGAGACCAAACGCUAAAGACCAAAAAAAAGGUUUAAGCACAAAAGGCAUAGUUGAUGCUCUCUUCGUCUUCCUCCUCCAGUAGCUCGCCGGAAAAACGAGUUCCAGCAGCUCAACGGAUUAACAAGCUCCAGCCGAGCAACAACGAAAUAGGACACCCAAAAAACCAGUCCACCCCCUGAACCUCUGCGACACCGACCAGCUACGAUCACAACGACCCCAUUCCUUGCUUUUCCUCACUCUGUUUCGCUGCUGAAUACUCUAGCGACAGAUCUGGCCAGAUUUUACAUUUUUUCGGCGACCUCCAUUAAAAUUGAUGGAGUUUCAUUUGAGUCGAGUUUUUCCGGUUUGAGGUUCGGUCAAUAUCUCGUUCUGUUUAUUCAUCAGGCAAAAACUCUUAAUUCAUUUGAUCUUCAAUUAAAAUUCUUCAAGUUCGUUGAAUCUUCAAGUUCACUUUUUGUGUUGAUCUAUUUUUUAUUGUCAGAAGACCUCUAAUUCAGUUGUUAUCAUAUUGAAACAGCAAUAAAAAAGGCACGUAUCUUUGUUAUAAAUUGGAUUUCCGUUUAUGUAUUAAAUGAAACUUUUGUUAUCAAGUUUAACAUUGAAGUCGUCUUUAGAAAAUCAUGUGGUUUUGUUCUUAUUUGCGUGUUUGUUGUGUGAAACCUCUGUUUUGGUUUGGAGCUGGUAAUAAUUAACAAUCCUUAGGUUGUUCUUUGGUUUGUAUGUUUCUGUUGAUAGCUGACCUGAUUGCAACUUUUGUAUCUUUGAUUUAUGCAGAUGCUGACUGACAACCACUGUGCUCAUUUAUAGGCGUUCAUCUUCUCAUCUGUUUCAUUUUGUUUUGUUGAUUUUGGUGCUGGCACCUUGAGUACCUUUUCUAGGUCUUGAGGUUUACUGGAAAUAUCUUAGAUUGAGCUGACAUAUUAUUUGCCCUUGUUCUUUUUAUGAUUACAAUUCUAAAAACCAAUUCGAAGUAUGCAUUCGCGCAACUUCGAUCCAACUUUUUCUUAAUAAAAAAUUAUUAUUAAUGGACC
rnacentral:lncRNA from 1 species